UGGAGCAUGUGGUUUAAUUCGAAGCAACGCGAAGAACCUUACCAGGUCUUGACAUCCCGAUGCUGUUUCUAGAGAUAGAAAGUUACUUCGGUACAUCGGUGACAGGUGGUGCAUGGUUGUCGUCAGCUCGUGUCGUGAGAUGUUGGGUUAAGUCCCGCAACGAGCGCAACCCCUAUUGUUAGUUGCCAUCAUUCAGUUGGGCACUCUAGCGAGACUGCCGGUAAUAAACCGGAGGAAGGUGGGGAUGACGUCAAAUCAUCAUGCCCCUUAUGACCUGGGCUACACACGUGCUACAAUGGUUGGUACAACGAGUUGCGAGUCGGUGACGGCGAGCUAAUCUCUUAAAGCCAAUCUCAGUUCGGAUUGUAGGCUGCAACUCGCCUACAUGAAGAUGGAGUUACUAGUAACCGCAGGUCAGCUAUACUGCGGUGAAUACGUUCCCGGGGCUU
rnacentral:rRNA from 1 species